GCAUGGGCGUGCAGCUCACCACCAACAACAUCAUCGCCGAGUACUUCUACGACCAGUUCGACCUCGACAUCCGCGUCGCCGGCAUCAUCGCCGCCUGCUUCGGCAUGGCCAACCUCGUGUCGCGCCCCCUCGGUGGCGUCCUCUCCGACCUCGGCGCGCGCUACUGGGGCAUGCGCGCCCGCCUCUGGAACAUCUGGAUCCUCCAGACCGCCGGCGGCGCAUUCUGCCUCUGGCUCGGCAGCGCCAAGUCACUGCCGGCCUCCAUCACCGCCAUGGUGCUCUUCUCCUUCUGCGCGCAGGCCGCGUGCGGCGCCACCUUCGGCGUCAUCCCCUUCGUCUCCCGCCGCUCGCUGGGGAUCAUCUCCGGCAUGACAGGCGCCGGCGGCAACGUCGGCGCCGGCGUGACGCAGCUCAUCUUCUUCACCCUGUCAAACUACUCGACGGGGAAGGGGAUCCAGAACAUGGGCAUCAUGGCAAUGGUGUGCACGCUGCCGCUGGUGCUCAUCCACUUCCCGCAAUGGGGGUCCAUGCUCCUCCCGCCCAGCGCCGACGCCGACGAGGAGCGCUACUACGCCUCCGAGUGGAGCGAGGAGGAGAAGAGCUUGGGACGCCACAGCGCCAGCCUCAAGUUCGCAGAGAACUGCCGGUCAGAGCGAGGAAGGCGCAACGCCGUGCUCGCCGCCGCGGCCACGCCGCCGGGCAACACGCCGGAGCACGUCUAAGAAGUAAUAUACUAGCUAGCUAUUACCGACCUGGCGACUUUACAUAUACACAUAAACACACAUGCGUGCAUGCGUUUGUACGGAUGCCCAUGCUUAGUAGAUGUAUAAUAUUAUUAAGGGGUCUUGAUCGAGAUGAGAGGGAGGACAUGUCAUAUAGCCUUUUAUUAGUUAUUAUCAUCGAUCGAAGCGUCAUAGAUUUGACUCUCUAGCAUCCAUCGGCCGCUGCCUUUUGACCAUAUGUGAUGUUGGUAACGCGCGUCAACUACUCUCUACCGUCUGAUGAUACUCCUAGUCCUAGCUUAUAACAAAUUAAACAGGUUUCAGCGACGUCUAAACCUUCCUUCCUCGACAAUGCAACAAAUAACUUUGCUUAUAAGCAUUCGUCCGUUUCUUUUGUGUGGCAAGUACAUACAGCAAAUAAUCAGAUACACAGAGCUAACAAUGCAUCAAACUUUGCUUAUAAGCGUUUGUCCAUUUCUUUUGACGAACGGAGAUCCUUUAUUCCUUUUGAUAGAUGCACUCUUCACUGUCUCUGCAUCUAUCAUUAGAUUCUUCAUCAAUUAUAUUUUCAUAGUAUACUAUCUUUAUAAUUUUCUCUAUAAAUUUGGUCAAACUUGAGAUACUUUGACUCUCCAAAAUUCUUGAAAUGACUUAUAAUAUAAUUUGGGAUGGAGGGAGUAUAUAUUAUUAUACUCCGUAGUCAGCCAUAGAAUAGUUAUUCUAUAGCUAGGUCACUUGGCAUGACAUGAUAGGCCAUCAUCAGGGUCCACGCGCGUUGCUGCCCUCUCGACCUAUACGCGAGCCACCACCGAGCGAGCGAGCCGAGGAUGAGCCGCAGGUCAUUACUACUAUAAUCAUUGUGCAUGGUCAUCAUUACAUUUUAAUCAACGCGGGUAAUUAAACUUCCGAUCUGGUCAAGAUCCCAACCAGGUUCUCCGUUCAAAAUACAAGAUACGAUCACGUAAUUAAUUCACGUUGUUUAGUCGUUUUGAUUACUGGAAUUCGAGUCCACAAUUGCAGGCGAGGAAGUGAACGAGUUACGAGAAUACAUGAACGUGGUUUGUAUACAAGUGUUCUGAUGAACGAGUUACAAAAAUGCCAGGACAAAUUUACCAUGUAAUUCUUACCAUAAUUUGAUUGGCCUGAGAUGAUAAUUACGACGGAGAGUUAUUAUAAUGACAAGAGUGAUUUAACAUGAAAUACUUACAAUAGUUCGAUUGGCUCGAGACAUAAUCUGAAUGGCGAGCUACCAAUUUCUUGCACAUUCUAUCUAGCACUGCAACACAUCACACAACUAGAAAUUGUGGCAAACACCAUCAGUCCCUUGCUUGCCGUAGUGCUAGGAAAGUCAAAUCAGAAGCAAUUUCGGGGAGAAAGUCUGGUUGACUGAGCAGAGUUCAGAAGCACGUUUUGAAUUGUCAAUGGGCAGAUCAUGGCCUGCUCAUGCCAGAAAGCAAGGAAACAAAACCUGAAUGGACAGGAUAGCAUGAAACCAUGAUCACUGACUAAUCUCAUUAACUAAAUUUAGGCAUACGCCACACCAAUAUAGUAUUCAGUAUAAUGGAGAUUCACAUUUUGGAGGAAAUACUUUCACAAUAUGCUCAUAUAGUUACAUGAAACGACCAUUUACUAUAUCUUUCACAGUUAUUGGUAGCUCUCGUGAUAUCUUUUUUCUCAUGUUGGGAUAACAAGCUCCUUUUUUUAUAACAGAACCGCUGAAAAAAAUCAAUUUUCAAUCUGCAAGGAUAAAAAAAUAGAAAAUGUUACUUUGAAAGAGUGAGACCUUAUUAACAACAAAUUAAUCUUAUGUAAAUUAUUAUGAUAAUCUUAUGUAAAGGAUUACUAGAAUCUGUAUCCCUUAUAUGCAAUUUACAAUAAGUUUGUAUUAAAUUUCAGAUAAUUACCACGAUGGCGUUAUCAAGUUACUAUGGGCAGUGUACAAAUUUGGUUUUGCUCUAUAGAAAGGCACGGUAAGAUGAAAAACGCAUUAUCAAUGUGCCAUGAUUAAGUUAGUACGUUACUAUAAAAUGAGGCCCAAUUAACUAGAAUCCAAUAUACUACAAUGCCUUCAAUAAAGUACCAGAACUCAUAUGAUAGGUUACCACAAUGGUAUCAUCAAAUUACUAGAUUGGAAUAUUAAUUUACUACAAAAGCAUUUACCAAAACAGCGUUGUCAAGUUACUUAAAAAGAUGACCAAUUUACCAGAAUUAAUAAUACUGGAAUUCAUGGGCAUAUGGAUAGAAUUCAAACAACAGAACCAAAGACAAGAGAGAAUAAGCAUUCACCUCAGCUGCUUGCUGAGCUUCCUGAAUACUUACGUAGCAGGCACGAAAAAACAGCCCCAUCACCUCCGCCCUGCACCAUGGACAAGACAACAAGCAGUUUGUGAAUGGAUCAGAGUGUAUAGGUCACAAGAAUUAGGAAAUGAACAACCCUGGAGAAUUCAUCUCCCUGAAUGUACACUCCUUAUAUACAUGUAGAGAAAACUACUGAACAUCUCCCUGAAUGUACACUUCUUAUACAUGUAGACUUUCCUUUUUCACAGGUAAAUUUGAAGGAAAUAAGCUCGCAGGCAUAAACGCAUAACAUAAUUUAUCUAUCAAAAGUAUAGUAAUAGAAACAAUUUGACGUAACUUUCAAACUAUAGCCAGGUGAAGUCAAGGUAAAUUUACCACAUGAUGUAUCAGUCAAAUUUGUAGUAACUGGUUGAAGUAGGAAAUACACAUAAGUCAGAAAAAUAGUAAAUUAAACAACUAAUUUUCCACUGUGCAGCAGGGCCAAUGAGAGGUAUAGAAAGUUUACAAGAAUUAUGUUAUGCAGCAUGGUAAUUUACUAUAAGGAGCCAUCAAAUCAUUCAAAAAUAUAUUUGUACCUACUAUCUAUGCAGCAUGGUACCUGAAGUAGUAAACCAACUUGUACGUGUACAGGUAAUAGAUGGAACCGGACAAAUAUGGGUGCUAUGCAACCUGCAGCUAUCUAAAGUCUAUUGAAUCAAACAAAAAUACAGAGACUUCCAUGAUAUCGUCGUUCAAAAGAUAGGGCUGCAUUGGGAAUUCGCAAUGCAACUCGGCUAAUCAGACAAAUAAAAAAAACUUCAAAACCAGGAAUGUGCAGUGACGCACUAAUCUCCAACCAAUGGGCAUAAUCAGUAGAGUGAACAAGGGAAGUAGAAUUACGUGAUGCUUACCUCAGGGUCUCUACGCUGGCUUGGAGUAGGAUGGGUUGAUCACCCAAAACCGAAGAACUCCUACAAGAACGCCGGCAGCAAUACAAGUACGGAUGGCACAGGUGCGAUACUGCUUCAUUAUCACAAACAUGGUGGCCUGGAUUUGAUCAGAAAUUUAGAAUUAAAAAAGAACGAUAUAAUUAUGUGAUGUACAAGAGCUUUAUAAAUAAUUUACUUGAUCUAAGUGAUUUACAAUAAUUCUGUAUUUAAUUUAAAAAGUGUGCACCAACAAUGUGGUAACUGUUUAUAUGAAUACCUUCAGAAAAAUGUCAUUUUUACCACAACUUCAUCACGUUACGUGACCCAUUAGUUAUCCUCUUACUCAUCAUCAGUAAUUUUAUUUUUGUAGUAUAACAGUAACCACCAGAAGUGAAUCCAUCUUGCACAUCUACAGGUUCAAGAACAAAUCCAGGUACCAGGGUUGCUGUUUCUGGGAGUGCAAGGCAGCAGCAACUAGUCAAUCCAGGUGAAAAUCGAAAAAAUGAAGCAUGUAUAACAAUGAUGCAUAGUAGGACUUACUGCACGAGAAAUGUCUGAAAAUUUACUAUAUAUUAGGAUCAGGAGGUACCACAAUUUUGUCAAGCUGUUCCAGGAAACCAUUUACUUUGUAAUGACGAGAUCAAUUUACCACAAAAUGCUACCUGAUAAUACUCAACUCUAAGUAUCAGGUGGCUGCUGCAUUUACAAGUUCUUUCAUUCAUAAUCAGGGUCCAUGUUACAACAAAAGGUCAAAUUUUGAAUUGAGUCCGUUAUACAGUUAAAAUUGUAACAAUCUCGCUCGGCCAGAUUGGCUCAAUUACAAAUGACAGUCUAUGAGCAAAUUACCUCAUGAGCACUAAAAAAUAGGUUUAGCUCUGGUCCUUUACUACAAUACUGAAAACCAGAAUAGGCCAAACAUCCUGUACGUCAAUUAACCAUUAUGAAUCUAGGCACUUUACUGAGAUAUGAAAUCAUUCACAUAUUUGGCAUCAUACUGUUCAUAGGCCCCAUUAAACCACGCAACAGUGUGAACAUACAGGUAGGUACUUAAAUCACGACUAUUGCAACAAAGCAAUGAUUAAUAUGGAAUCAUGAACCUCAGAAUCUUGUCUCCUCUACGGGCAUGGGGAGUGACGGCCCACCCUACACAAGAACGACGGCCGAUGCGGAGGGAUGUCGCCAACCAACGCAGGGGAACGGAUUUGAGAUUGGACUUCAGGUUGGAAUGAGGUCGCAUCUGCGGGAGGAUUUGGGGGAUUCCUAGUUGCGAUUGAAGGCAGAGAGUAUCCUGCUCAGGUAUGCAGUCAAACAAUUAAAAUAGAAAUGAAUUAAACAAAAACAAAUUAGUACGGACGAAUUUCUUCUCAAGGGGUGUUUGGGAGGAGGGGCUAAAAUUUUAGCCCCCGUCACAUCGAAUGUUUGGACACUAAUUAGGAGUAUUAAACCUAGACUAAGGGGGUNNNNNNNNNNNNNNNNNNNNNNNNNNNNNNNNNNNNNNNNNNNNNNNNNNNNNNNNNNNNNNNNNNNNNNNNNNNNNNNNNNNNNNNNNNNNNNNNNNNNUCCCGUGCCACCUUACCUGCCAUCACAUGAUCACAACAUGUACCCAAGCUAGCUAGAGCGAGUUGCCCCGGCUGUUUUGAACAUUGUUUUAAUGUAAAAAAAGUAUCCAGGUGGUAAUAUACCGGCUCUUGCACUUAGAACAAUAUGCAAGAUUCUUACUUGGAGAGCCUGCUUGCUAAUUUAUAUUUUUCCCUUUUUUAUAAAAAAUUUUAUAAAAAAACCAUGUUUCAUGCAAACAUGACUUGAAGGUAAUUAAAAUGGAAGAUAACAAGUGAGUGAGGCAGACAUGAAGAUAGCAAGGCUCCACCGUCUUGUGCAUGGUGCCACCAAAACCUUCCCAAAGGUUGCUGCCGAUGUGGUGGAUGCAAAUUUGGUUGAAGAUCAUGGUCGUAGGUUGAGAAGGCCGAAUUCCAUAGUGAGGGCCUCAUGGCGGGCUGUCUGUCACCGACAGACACGCCUCUCGUGCGGCCCACUUGUAGAGCCCACUGAUUUGAGAAGCCACGUGCGGGCCGCCCGCAGAUUCGGAGCCUUCCUAGUUCCUCCGCCGCAGCCCAAACACGACCAGCAGCCCAAACACGGCAGAACGAAAUCCCCCUCCCCUCUUCCUAGUCGUAGCGCGACGGACGGGAUGCUCAGUACUCGCUCAAGAGCGCAAGCGUGUCGGGUGGAGGCGGCGCGCGGAGCAGCAACCCCGGCGACGGCAGCGGUGUCGGAGGAGGAGGAUAGGAUGGUGGUGCUGGUGGUGGCCACCACCAAGGACCCGGCGUCCAUCGGCCCCGCCGCCGCCUUCCUCGCCAUGCCCGGAUGGUCCCCCGGCCCGCCCAUCGCAGUAAGUCGUUCCCCCUUGCCCCCUCCCAAUCUCAUUCAUCCGCCGCCGCAUGCGUGCGUCCUCUCGAUUUACUCCAUCCAUCUGGUCUAUCUCCUACUAUAUCGUACUGACCCCCGUCCAGUACGCAUUAGCUAGUGGCACAAAACCCAAGUAAAUUUUGGCGGAAUUGGAUCGCUCAGAUAAAUGGAGUAUUCAUCAUCUAUCUAAUGAAAGCAAGUUUGAUUUGAUAAAAUUAAGUCAAUAGCAGCGCAAGUUUGACGUAGAAAACAGAUUACACCACGCGUCGCAUAUGUUAGCUUCUGUCUUAGCAGUGCAAGUCAAUAACACACUGCUAUAGGAGAAGUGAGCAGUUCCGGUGGUCAUGACUUCCUGACCUUUACUGGGAUUCCGUGUGGUAUUCUUUUGGAGCUGAUCCGACUCAGGAGAUAGGGAGAGGACCAAGCAUAUUCAUUCACAUUUUUACCCCCUUUUAAAUUUUGUGCUAAGGAAGGCAUCCAACAGGUGUUGGCUGACAUUUUGCGGUUCUUCAAACAAUUUUGGGUGCUCUACCAUGGUUCCCACUUAAUUUUUGCCCAAAUCUGUUUUGCAGGAAGGGAUGGAGAGUUUUACUAAUGGGAAUGUUCGGUUAUUGAAGCAUGAACACAGCAUUAUUGAAGAGGAUAAUCUUGACCAGCGAUGGCAGGAAGCCACUGGAGAGCCUGUCUCCGAGGUCAUAUUCCUCAGCAAGCACACUGCAGUCUCCAACCGUCCAGCACUCACCGUGCAUCCAAUUGGUCCGUUCUUCUUUCAUGUGUGACCUCAUUUAAACCAAUGCCAAGGUCAAAUGCUUGAUGUUUUUGUUGUUUCUUGUUGAACACCAUUUGCUUCACAAGAUGUCUUAUAUAUCUAUGGAUAGUGAACUGUGUUAUAGCAUACAUGCAAUUCAUUAUGUUCCUUUUUCUGGAAACAGUGGAAUCCAACAUAUUCGGUAAUAGUCUUACAUGUAUUGUUAGGGCAAAGUACAUUGGUGUCGUCUAAUAGACGGUCUCAUGCAUUGACACGUAAUCUUGAGACGAUUUAACAGGCAACCUGUACAAUGGGUUGCCCUAUAAGUUGUCUGGUAGUGCUAUAUAAUUCCUUAAUUUGUGCAUAAGAAAAAUAAAAUAUUAUGAGUUGCAUGGCAACAAUAACUCGUACAAUGGUUGUUAAGUUGUCUUGUAGUCCUACAAUUUAGCUUAUGAGGUGGUUGUUUCGCGAAGCAACGACCUCUUUCUCUCUCCUCGCUCUCUCUCCUCCACAUCAUCAAAUAUCCUACGUGGCACUGCAUGGGAUGACCUAUGAGACCGCUGACGUGUAGCAAUGUACUUGUCCUUAUGAUUCCGUUUUCUAGUUAUAGCAACAUGUUUCUUGAACAACAUGCAAAUACAUAUAUUGGAAAUUUUCUUUUUAUCAACUGCCUAAGUGCUUUAUUAAUGUACAUGUGUUCUUACUGGUAAACACACAUAUAAAGGUGUGCCACAUCUGAGGGAUGAUGAAACCCCACCCCAUGGAGGGACUCCUGGAUGGGCAGCAAUUCCAAAUCCUCGAAUUGGCCCUUUGCUCCGGUUGAUGCAAAAGAUUGCUGCAGAACAAGGUCUUGUUCCAGAGUUUGAGGUAGUUUGCUCCUCGUCAGUGACCCAUAUCUUUUUCAGUCAACUGAUUUUAAUUAUGACUGCUUAUGAAGAUUACGCUUGAGGCUACUCACCAUUACAAGCACGCCCACCAUGUUUGUUGAGAUAGGUACAAGCUUAUGUCCAUAGCCUUUUUUUGUUUCUUGAAUGUCAUCAUUGCCCAACUUCUCUUUUUUGCUAUGGCCCCUUUUGAAAGUUCAUUUUAUGUUUCCAGAAAAGUCCUACAAUUAGCUUAGCAACCUCUUAGAAAAUAUAGGGCCAUCUAUUAGAAAAUUCCAGCCUUGGAAACCCAAAAGGACAUCUAUUUACAAACGAAAAUCUAACUCUAAAAUGACAUUUAUAUACAGAACGUAGAUUUUCAAGAUCAAUUAUUCACAAUGAUCUGUAUCCAGUUGUUCCUUUUUUAGUUGUGUCAACAUAUGUUUAUAUGGUUUGCACAAGGUAUAUGUAAUGUGUUUUUUUGUUCUUUUGAGCUGGAAGAGUUUGUUGCUACAUUACGUACAUAUACAAAUCUAGGUAACAUAAAUAAGGCCACAUCCUCCAAAAUUCACAAAUAAGACGUAGUUAACUUAAGCAUGUGAAAUUUUAGAAAGAGAUGGUGCUUAUAACAUGGACAGGAUGGACAAGAUGCAAGCAACCAGUCUUUUGACUCCAUCUGAUCAACCUUUUCAAAAGCGCAUUGAGUUUAUGCGAACUCAACUCAAUAUAGCUCAGCGCACCAAUCCUGCAGCUACAUUAAUAGGCAUACCAUUUGGUUCUACACUACCAUCUUAUGUGUCGGAUCUGAAAUUGUUAACUUCAAUAUUUCAGACUGCUAUAAAUAUCCAGGAAGUGCGGGGGUAGACAAGAUGCUGCACAGGCAAUUGCUCUAGUGAGUUCUCUCACUCCCUCCCUCCCUCAGUAUUGGCCAACUAAAUAUUGUUAUUACUGUCUUACCUUUAGCUAGAAUGUUAGCUUUUAAUUGUUCUUUCAGAAUGCAACCUUUGUCAGGAACAUGCAAUUGAGUUUUCAAUACUUGCAGGUUCUACGGAAAGGUCUUGGUCUGGAGGAUGGAAAUGCUGUUGGAAGUUGGCAGGGGUAUGUCAAUAUGCAUUUCUCCCCCCUUGUGUGAUGUACAGUGGCAUCGAUGGUGAUUUUAUCAGAUCAGAAUCUAUAUAAAGUAUUAUCCUCAAUGGAAUGUAGGAUAGAACCUAGGUACUGCACAUUGCUACAAACUACUAGUGAUACUAGCACACCGACCAGAUACCAGAGUAGAGUUGAGUCAGUAUCAUUGUAUAUCAUUGGGAGAUGAAGAUGGGUUGCAAAUUGAAAAUACAAGUGCCUUCCCUUUAGCUCCAUCUAUAACUGUAUAACUGGUCUCAUUAGGUGAACCAGGGUUCACAAAUAGAUUUCUCUUCUUUAGUCAAGAUGGCAAAGGUGUUGACUAGAUCAACUGAAAUUUGAGUCUGAAUUGUGGAUAACUUCGUUUAAAAACCAAAAGUGGAAUACCAUUUGCUCCCUAUUUGUUCAUUAUAAAAUGGAAUGGGACAGAAUAUUUGCAAGAGGAUAACAUCAGGGGAGAACCCUAAUGAUUUUUUUAUUAAUAAUCGUAACCGAAAAGGUUCUCCACAUAUGAGCAUUUUUGCGAUUGUAUCCACCUAAUUUGACUUUUCUUUUUCUUGUAAGCAUUUAUUUGUUACCCUCUCACUCACCUUUUUUUCUUUGUUUAUUUAAGCACACGAAAAAAACUCAUUUCUUGUUAUGCAGGAAUAGUGAAAAGGUUCUACUAGGUAUAGGAGGUGGUCACUAUGCUCCUCGUCAUAUGGAUAUUGUCAAGUAAGCACAGAGAUGAAGUUAUUCUUGAAGGCAAUUUCUAAUUAUAUGUUGUCUCCCCAUAUAUUUUCCUUUACUUAUGUUAGCACUCGUAUGUUAAAAAGACCAGCAUACUUUACUUUCUGCCAGUGAGGGGAAAACCAAAUUCUGAUGCUAUAUUUUCUUCAGCUACUUCCAGAUCUUUUGAUGAAAUAACAAAUUUACAUGAGUGCACCAGAAGGUCUUGUCUGUCCCUAGAAGUUGUCAGGAGAAGCCCAUUGAUCAGCAUGCCAGGCAUUGGCUUUUUAUUACUAUAGUAUUGUACUAGAGUAAAUGUGGAAGUGUAGACAGGUUUGUAGCAAAUAGAACAAUAUAAUGCUAAUUAAUGAAAAAAUAUUUUGAUCUAAAACUGUUUUUUUAUGGCAUGUGAUACUAGAUAUAGAAAAACCUGUGAUCUAUCUUUAUCUUUUAUAGACUUUGAUUUAAGGGUAUUUUGAUGUACUUGAGGAAUACCUAUAUUUUAACAGUCACAUUCUGAAAAUAUUUCAGCAAAGAUGGUGUAUGGGUGGGUCAUUUACUCUCUGGUUACUCCUUGCCGAUGGAAACUCCAUCCCAAAUAAAUGGAAAGACUUCUGGAGAGGUUGCUGGAAUGUGGAAGCACUCCAUCAAAGUUUCCUAUGAAGCCACAAAGGCAGCAUUUCCUGGUGGUGAAGUAAUUGCACAUCUUGAUCACAAGUACGUUUCUUCACCAGUUUGGUACAUCUAAUCUGUAGAAGAUGCUACUUCAUUGCAUUCGUUUUUUAGCUUAGUCAUUGUAAUUUUGGAUUGCGAACCACCUGUACAUAAUUUUGAGUUUAAUAAUGCCAGUUCCAUAAAUUGACAUGCCUAGUGCCAUCAACUGUAGCAUUUUUAUGUGCGUCAAGGCUAUUAGCGGCAGCUUUGGAGCUAAAAGAAUAUCCGUCAUGGACUCAUGGAAAUUCAGAUUCUGACUAGUUAAAACUUAAAACACCAUCACCGCUUACUUGACUGAAAAUAAGCAUAAUAGACUUGGCGUCUUGACAAAGGGGCUCUUGAAGUCUAGUUCCUUGAUAUAUUGUUAUUCUCUAAGAAUGUUGAAUGUUAAAACAAUGAGUUGUUUACCUUUUUUUGCCAACACUGAAAAGUGGUACCACUGAUCCAUUUCUUAAAAAAUGAUAAUCUUGGUUCUUGAUCGUUUGAAUUUCUAACUACUGAUAUUAACAGAAAAAGAUCAGAAGCGCUUACUGUUGCCAUUGGUUCUUCCACACACAUUUCGUAGAGUAAAACAGCGGAUGGGUAGUCAAACAAAUGACCACAUCUGACAAGAACAAGAAAAUGUCACAAGACUUUCAUAAUGAAAAUGUCAGAAGAGCUUCUAAAGGGCAUCUUACAUCCAACCAAAAGAUGCAGUGCCUUCGUCAGAAGUAUGAGUACAAUUUAUCGUCCAGAACUCUUCAGGUUCGUGAGCUUGAAUCUCCCAGAAACGCUCAACAAUGAAUCCUAGCGUCGGAAACUGCAAUGUAAUGAAUUUUUAGACAAAAUAAAGAAUGAACAUGCAUGUAAUAGGUUUUAUGAAUUCCUUGACAAGGGCCAUAGCUCAGAACUAAAUUCCUGUCAUCCCCAGUGACAUCAAUUACAAAUGAAUCUUUUAACAGCAUUGUUUGAAACCUUGUGAAGGAGGCACCAAUGCGAAGGUCAAUUUCCUGUACAAAGUUUCUUAUUACUUCUCUGAGCUUGAAAAUAACAAUGAAGAGGUAAAUGCUGAUAUAUUUGAGACAAUAACAUAGACAGAGGAAAUGUACUAGCAAAUCAGCUGCUUUGGAUCUUUGGUUUUAUGUAAAGCUAUCAUACUAGAGGAAACAUGCAGCAAAAGUUCACCAUGGAGCUCAAUCAGAUAGAGUACCAUGCAUUUUAAAUUGGUUGCUGGUUGAAAGUUGUAGCUCGAGUACAUGAGAUAAGAAUCACCUGUCUUGCAUCCACAGCAUCUGCAAAGAGUUUGUUGGGUCUGCCGAGAUGUUGCACAGAUUCAUGUAUUUCCCUGCAGUUUCAUUAUGUUUUUUAGACAAACCAAUGGGCAUGGGUAUGACAUCCUUGCACUAGAGGGAAAGAGACCAUGCGUAGAAACCAAUACCUGUCAAUCAAAGCUGAGAAACGAGCCCUCCAAAUGUUAAGAUGACUGUUGGCACCUGUACAAACAUCGAUCACUUCAUAUGCUAUGUUCUCACCCUCUCUGUCACAAUCAAGCCAUAGCACCAGCCACUGGCACCUCCUAGCUUCUUCUUCCAAAGUUUGUUUUAUGGCUUGCUUGUCCUGCAUUUUGGACGACCAAAUUCAUGGAUAGAAUUCAAGUACAAAUAAACCAUGGAGUUACACUAACAUCGUGACAUGAAAACGAUUCAUAUCUAUGAAGAAAAUAAUCCCAAUAUGUGCACAACAGGACAGCCAAAGACAGGUAAUUAAACAAAUUUAUCCAUGCAGAAAGAGAGGAAAAUUACAGGAAAGAAGUAAGAAAAUGACUGAUUGUGUCAUCAUGAAGAACACCAAGCAUUCUGUUAGCAUCCAAUCCACGGCCAGCUAUACUAAGGUGGCUGAGUAUGCCCUGAGCUGCAUGAUUGGUGCAAAUCAUUGGGUGUCUAGUUGAAUCUCUCCUUUUUAGCUUUUUAUAUUUAUUAUCUGCAUGCGAUGCAGUUGUUCUGAGUUAUGAUCAUAUCACUAUAGGCUAAAACCUGCAAGGUCUGUGUGUCAAAUCAUUGCAUCAAAUAAUAUUCAAUCUCUAUGUAACUAAGCAAAGGCCUGAGGAUUACUCUACCAAAUGGACUGAUCUGCAGUUUUCAUGCAACUAUCACGCAACCCUCAGAUCGACUCCAAAUAUCAGAGCUCAUUUUGUGCGGCAGCCACAUGAUACUGUACACAGCAAAACGCCAAGCACGCUGUUGGACAGAAUUCCCACAUCAGCGCAUUCGCAAAUGCGAAGCACAGCAUUACAAUAACACUGCAGGUGCCUGCACGAGGACUGUAAGGCACCAUCACAACCGUUAGAAGCCCACGCACCAACUAAUCGAUCCCGAACCGCCCACAGCGACGCGCUCACCAGCUGUUCGGCGAAAUGCACGUGCGGCACGGAGAGGGCGAGCGGCAUACCUGGGGCACGGACUUGCGGACGGGGGCGUGGAAGAGGUCGGCGGGGUCGCAGGAGUGCCAGCGGCGGAACCGGUCGUCGAAUUCGAGCUCCAUGAGGUGGCCCGUGACGGAGGUGACGAGCAUGCGGCAGGCACGGCCGUUGAUAAGACGUGGUUGUACGGGGACCGCCCCGCCGCGCGACAGGAUCUCCGCCACGUUCAGCACGCGGAUCGCGCCGCCGCCGCCGGGCUGCAUCGCGAAACAGGGGAACCGGUGGAGAGAGGGCCGCAAGGGGCGGGAGGUUUUGAAAUUUCCAGUUUGGCGGAGCGGUUCUGGCAUUUCACCUUCACCCCGUUCGGCACCGCGUUAAGCCGCUGCGGCUUCUUUUUCCAGCUGCGGCUUAUCAGCGGACGCCGUUCGGAUGGCUUCCGCUGCUAGUCACGAGCGGAAUCCGUUCGUAUGUAGGUAACGCCGCACCGACACCCCGACGCGCCAGUGCCUCCCUCAUCUCGCUCCCUCCGUCACUUGCUCCCCACCGAGCGUCGCUCAGCAGAUCCGCCGCCGCGGCUCCCUCCGCUCCCCGCUCCGUCCACGCCCGGUCUGCGCCGCCAGCGGGCCCUCGGCGUCCGCGCUCCGUCGCGCUCGCCCGCCGCUCCCUCGCUACCGCGCGCUCCCUCAGUUCCUCGCGCUCGCUCCGCCGCUCCCUCGCUGCCGCGCGCGCCCCGCCACCGGUGAGGCGUGGAGUGGCGCUCUCCCUCCCUCCAAUCCGCCCGGGCGACCGCGCCGUGGAUCCCGCUGGACGCCCCCUCCGUCCCUCGGUCCGGAUCCGCCGCCGCCCGUCCCUUCGGAUCCGCCGCCGCAGCUCGGAGCCGGCGCACGCGCCGCCGCCGCCGGUGGGUCAUCGGGUGGAAGGACCGUCUCCCGCGCCGUCGCCCCCUGCAUCCCCUUCGCUCACAGGUAUGGAUGCUACCCCAUCCGUAUGCCGCUAGGUGCAAAAAAAGUGUAAAAUGGUUCCUGCUUUUAGACAUGCUGCUGGGCAACUGACUUGUUUGAGUAGAUUAAUCAAGAAUAUAGAAUGUCAAGUGCAAUUGUGAGAUCUUGCAAUUUUUUUGUGAAGACGCAGGAGAAACAGACCUUGCAUUUGGAGCUUUCAGUUCUAAAGCUGCAGCAGGGCUUAUCUUUUUAAGAUGCAUCUUCAUGGAAGAGCUAGUGAAUUUAGGUUCCAUCAAUGUUUGCCUCAACAUAUUGAAGUUGUGUAUUAGUUUAUUUUUUGUGUCUGCAAAGGUUAAAACUAUCAGCGCCAUUUAUUCAAUGUACAUGAAAGAUAUCAACUGUAAGGGGCAAGUCAUAUGGAUUCUUUAGAAUUAACACCUUAGCAGAAACUUGGUAUUCCAAAUUCAAUUCCAGUUCCCAUGUUGAGCUUAGUUUCUUUAAUCUUGUGGAUUCUUUUCACCACAGAUAUGUGUAAUCUGCCUAAGUGGCCUGUACAUCCACCAUAGUGAACCUAGGUAGCAUAAAACUCUUAUGUUCAUUUAACAAUAUGAUCUCAACAUUAUGUCAAUCUCCAAAGUCUGAAUUGCAUUAGAAUUUAGAACUGAAUGGGUGGUAUGUUCCUGAAGAUGAGAACCUCGAAAAAAGUAUUGUAAAUUAAGUAAUUCAUUUUGGUUAUCUAGGUAGCCGUUGAACCAUGAUCUUUUAUGUUGUUCCCAUGUACAUGUUAUCGACCUUUUGUGGUCUGAUGCAGAACUUGGCCAUUGAUUUAUAGCAAACAAAGAAUGGUAGCUAUCCAUUCUAGGUCAAUAUGAAAGUGUUUUGGGAUGGCAGGAUCCACUUUAGGUAAUUGUCAACCUUCAAUGAUCAGUAAGUCAUUGUUGAUCAGUAGGAUGCCAAAAAAAAAAACCCUUGUCUGUCCUACUGAUCAAGAAUUCAUUGUCCUGAUCCUGCCUUUGAACAAAAAAAAUGUGGUGUACCCAAACAUCAAGUCUAUGCAACUCUUGAUGCUACUGUCGUCUAAGUUAUGUCCUUUAUCUGUAUUUUACUCUAGUGUUAUCGAACAUGCAAGAUUGGAAUAGCAACUGUUUGCCACUGAUAGUCGAAGAUGCAAGCUGAAUGUUACAUUGUGCUGACCUUCUGAUUUUUUUUGUAACCUUUCAGGCUUGAGGAGGAAGGGUGCAAGGACCACAAAUCUGAGGCACAUUCAAAGGUGCCCACACUGGCAUCGUCAUCGACUGGGUCCUGCUCUCCUCCCCCCGUGUGCCCGUACAAUUUUCGUCACAAACGCCACAAAGCACCUGCUAAGGCAAGUAACAAAUUCUUCAUUUUCCAUUGCUUAGUUGUGUACGUAGGUCGUAGUUGUCCAUAGAUCGGUGCCAUAUAAUUGCAGCUACUGUGUGGUCAGAUGAGUAACCGUGCCAGCUGGGAUGUGCCCACGACAAAAAUUUUGCUGGAGAUGUGCAUUGAACAAAAGAACCAGCUAAACUGGAGCGACAGAUGCCUCACUAAGUUGGGAUGGAGGAAUGUCCACUCCAGGUUCAAGGCAGCAACUGGAUUGCAACUGGGAAUGAAGCAGCUGCAGAACAAGCUCAACAACUUGAGGAGGCAAUUCUUCGGCUGGCGGGCAUUGGAAACCUCGACUGGUUUAGGGCGCGACACACAAACUGGUGGGGUGUCGGCUGAUGCCACGUAUUGGGAGCAGGACCAACAGGUAGGGACUUUCCGUCGUCCCUAACUUACUGAUCGUCAUACUUGUAAUUUAUUACAUUUCCAAUACUGAUAUUUUACUUUUAUGCGACUUUGCAGGACACCCAGGCGAGGUCACAGCCGCAUUCUGUGAAGCCUCCACCUUUGCUGGACCUGCUGUUCGAGUUGUUUGGCCACGAACCACAAGACAGGGGCACAUUGCUUUCGGCCGGAGGGAUUCGGGAGGACACACCUAGCAUGGGGGGCACACCUAGCAUGGGGACUGAGGGCAAUUUCGUGGACUUGGAGGACGAGCAGGCCCCUCCUAGUAGUGCUCGUUUCAGUGCUCCUGCCAAGUCAAAAAGGCCGGUCCGAGAAUACUCAGUGGACAGUCCCACCAAAAAAAGAAGUGACAACUUGGAGCAGUACAUUAGGGACCUAUCUGAUAGUGUGGCCAAGCGAAGCCUGCUACGUGGGCCGAGUGGCCAUGAACAAACAAAUCGUUGUCUUCAGAUCCUAAAAGAAGAUGGUAUAGAGCAGGGGUCGGAGCUUCACAACAAGGUCAUGUAUUGUUGUGGGCAGAGUUCGGAUUGUCGGUCCACGUUCUUAGGGUUAGACACAAAAGAUGCCCGAUUGAGUUGGAUCAAUUUCUACUGGAACAUGAUGCAGAAGAAGUGAUGGUGGCCUGGUUCUUUCUUAGCUUAGUUGCACUUGUGUUGUGUUGAACAUUGAAUGUAGCUUCUGUAAUUUUAAGAUGAGGUUGAACAUUUCUAUGUGCACUUUAUGUUCUGGUGUAUCUGAAUGUCAACCAAUUCUAUUAGUUAGUUGUUAAGUUGCUUAUGUUAAUGGUUGUUUAUGUUAGUGGUUGUUUAUGUUGCUAAGUUACUUUGAAGUUAAGUGCCAGUCAAUUUUUUGUGCAAACUAGUUCUACCUGCUCUCGGUAUACAUAACGUUGUUCACCUUGUCUUAUAAGCUGUGUUUUCAUUUUGGACAGGUAUUUAAAGUAUGAGUGCUCCAGAGGAACACAACAGUGACACCGGCAGCGACAGCAGCUCCGUGUUUGAUAUGAGAUGUUUAGGAGGAGCUGCAGCCGCAUAUGAGGAGCUUCGCAGCAUAAAUCGUGCUAGACGGAACCGACCUGUCGACUUGCCAGUUGAGCUGCCACGCCUGACGGGUCGGCAGUGGGUGGAGCUGAACCUCCGGGACAGGAGGCGGUGCUACGACAAUUUUCGUAUGUAUCCCGACACGUUCCUUCACUUGCACGACGUGUUGGUUAGCAACCAUGGGUUGACAACGUCGCAAGGGGUAGAAUCCGUUGAGGCGUUAGCUAUGUUUGUGUGGGCAUGUGCGACACAGCAAGCGUGCCGGCAGAUUAGAGAAAGGUUUGACCGGAGUCUGGACACGGUGAGUAGGAAGAUGGCGCAUGUGGCGAAUGUAAUGUAUUCGUUUGCCCAGCAAGUCAUCGCUCCAAAGGAUAGAGCGUACUCGACGGUCAAUCACAAGCUGACCCAAUAUGCACCGUUCUUUGAUGGGUGCAUAGGUGCGCUUGACGGUACGCACAUUCCAGUAAUUGUCGGCCGUGAGUCCCGUUUGGAUUUCCUAAACAGAAAAGGAUUCACAAGCUUCAACGUGCUAGCCAUAUGCGAUAUGGACAUGCGUUUCACGUACGUAGGAGCUGGCAUGGCAGGCUCAUGUCACGACAUGGCGGUAUUGCGUGACUGUAUGUCGGCACGGACGUACCCACAUCCACCUGCAGGUAUGUGACUUAUAAGAGUGGCACAUGUAGAUUAAUCAAGAAAAUGUGGUGCACUAAUGUUGAUUUGUUGUGAUUACCUGCAGGCCACUAUUAUUUGGUCGACUCGGGGUACGCCGUUCGCGAAUGGUAUCUGGGCCCGUAUAGAAAUACCAGGUAUCACCUCGAGGAGUUUAGCAGAAGGGAGGCCGACACAUUGGAGGAAAAAUUUAAUUUUCACCAUUCCAGUCUUCGAAAUGUGGUGGAACGCGCCUUCGGUGUCCUGAAAUCGAGGUGGCACAUUCUGCGGGAAGUGCCACUAUAUUCGAGAGAACGACAAACCAAGAUUGUUAUUGCUUGCUUUGCACUGCAUAAUUAUUUGUUGGACGUUGGCAAUGACAGUUCUGCAGGAUCGUCGAGGGCGCGAGAACCGGACUAUGCGGUGUCCGAAUGGGUGGCAGCUAAUGCUACACCUGAUAUGGGCAGUGUCCGAGAUUGGAUUGCUGCGGGCAUCUCGUUGAUGUAGACGCGGGAUGUAUGUGUGUAAAUCAUGUUGUAAUUUGUAUGUACGAAUUUGUAAUAUGUUGUGUGUACGUUCGUAAGCUCGAGUGUGUUUGUUAUGUUUGGCGCGCACCAUUUAGAUACUGUAGUUGCAUUAACCGCUACAAAAUUUAUUUUUGAACGUAGUAGCGUAUCAGUACGGAAACCACUUUGGAAAUUGGUAAGGAUAAGUCGUUACCGCUCUCUCGCUCGUUUCGGUACAGGAACAAUUUAAUUUCUGUUUUUUAACAACCUUAUAUUUUACAAGUAUGAACAAUUCUAUUAUUAUUUGUAGUCCCACACAUUUUAAUUGUUUCAUUUUGUAAAAAUUUGAGUUGCAACCGGACUAAAUUUAACCUUGCAACUAAUGUGGCCCAAACGGCCCAUUAGCACGCACACCCGGCGGGCCAACAAACGGCCGUUACUAGCGGCGGCACCAGCAGCAGCUGCAGCGCUACAGCAGCAGCUGCAGCGCUACAGCACCGGCUGCGGCAGCCAGCAGCCGCAGCAGCGGCUUAACGCGCUGCCGAACGAGGUGCUUUUGUUUUAAUGUAAUAAUUGGGCUGGGCUUUGCAGCUUAACGGGCCCAUCUGGAUAGAUAAGGUUAUGGGCUUCAUGUGGCCUUCUCAGAAGCUUAACGGCUCUUGAUGUUUUAAUAAGAAAAAAACUUGCAAAAAAGUCUUAAAUAGCAUGGCAAAAUCUUAUUUUACAUGAGAAAAAGGCAUUGUGGAAGAGAGUUCCUUUCUGUGAACUUGUUCACGGCGAGUCGACGAGGUCAACCAUGCUAAAUAUCCCACAUGGCACAACUGUUGAACGCGUGAGCCUCAAGGAAACAAAACGCAUAUGCUCCUAUAUAGUGGUACGGCAUCUUAAAUUUGAUACAAAACUUCACAAGAUACCAGAAUGCCAUCUAUGUUGUUCCAAAGAAAACAAGUUCUGCCCUUGAUUCUCAUUCUCAUCCUGGUCCUGGGAGCACAAGCCACCACCAUCGCUGCAUCCCGGGUGCUGAGAGAGAGAAAUCAUGGCCGCAAUAAUCCUGGUGGAAGAUGCCCUCACCCAUGAAGAUUUCUUCAAGGCAUGUGCAGUUUUGAUACAAUGUUCUUUUAUCCAUUUUUCCCAUUCAAUAUUCUUUUGGCUGCUCUUCUGGAGCUCGGACUGGAGGGGACGGGCAUGUUGAGUACCCGGUCAAUUUUCUAUCUUUUUUUCUGUGCAGCAGUUUUUGCUUAGCCUGCAUGUAAACGAUGGUGUAAGUUUGUAUAUGUGACAUUUUGUACAUAAUCUGUUCACUAUUGCUGUUGGUAUGAGUGUAUAACUGAUGAAAAAUAUAUACUGACAUCUUUUUUGAAUGGUUCGCUCUUCUUACCAUGCCUAGUUUCACAUGACAUCCUAGGUUUGAUUUUUAUGAUCACCCUAGCCGUAAAAAUAUAUUAAAUUUAGUGAAGCUAUUUCAAGAGCAAGAGGAUGUUGUUUUUGGCGCUAAAAGAAACAUCUUAGAUGAAGCAGUGUUUCAAGGCAGAGCAAUGUUUCAAGGUGCAUGGUCAGUAUGUAACAAAUUAUUGGUAACAAAGAAGUGCAGCACUAGAUUUGUGUGUGUGUUGGGGGGGGGGGGGGGGGAGCAAUUUUUUAUUGAUCCUUCUGUUCCUAACCAAGGGUUCAAUUGAGAAGAUAUGAUUCAGUGCAAACAAGUAUCUUCGUAACCAAGUGACAUGUCUAACUUCUUGAAAUUUUACCCGGUUGUGGACACUGUAGGCCACAGUUGCAGUUCGGACACUUCCAUACUUUGUGUAGUCUCUCGCGCCAAGGAAUGGAGUUUCAGUGCUCUCCCCUUUUUCUAGAUCUGCCCCUGAACAGAAACGAACCAAUCGAAGCGUAAAAUGAAUUUUGCAACCAUAAGGACAGAUGAUGUAAAAAAGAGUCAUUAACUGACAACAUACUCGAUUAAGAAGAUUUUCUAUACUUCUGUGCAACAUUCCUGGGCCUUGGUGCAGAAAACACUCCCACAAUACAGAGUUCCCAUUGGAGAAAAGUUCCUAAGACAAUCGUCAGGGUUAGAACAUGACGGUACCAUGUCACAAACCAUGUAGAAGGGUAAAACACUAAAAAAGGCCAAAAAGAAAUAAUUAUUUGUGCCACUAAUGUCACUUGUACAGAUAACAAGGUCCUGGUAAAGGACAUGGUUUGUCAAAUCGUACACAGAUGAAAAUACCAGACAUCAUUUCUCAUUGUUGAUUCCACUACGACGAUAAGCAGAAGGGUUAAGCAAAAAUAGAUAUUGUUUCAAGGCUCGAUGCUAAGAUUUCUCAUACUCACCUUCAACGCCUUGAAUUUACUAUGUAUGUUGAGGCAAGAAUUCCAAAGACACUGGCAAAAGUACAAUGCCAUUACCAGCAUCUCUCAGAAUUUGUCAUCAGGGGCAUAUCCUCUAUGAAUCAUUUCAUCAUGAAGCUGAAAUGCCUCCUUCGAGUUGCCAGCUGCAACAUGACCAUUAAUCAUAGACAUGUAUGUAUAUCUAUCCGGUUCAAUUCCUCUCUCACCCAUUUUCUUGAAAACCCAACCAGCUUCUUGCACAUUGCCAUGUUCAGAAAACCCGUUUAUGAGCAUAUUAUAUGUGACAACAUCUGGGUACCAUUUCCUUCUCCAUUAUGUUAAACACAUUGAAAGCUUCGUCCAUAUUUUCUUCUUUAACAUAACCAUGGAUCAGGGUGUUGAAAGCAAUUAAAUCUGGCAAUAUGUUGUCUUGCCUCAUCUUUUGCAAAAACUGCUGCCCCUUUCUUACGUUACUUGACCGGCAAUAACCCUUGAUAAUGGAACUGUAGGUCAUGAUGUUUGGUACAAUACCUUUAUCAACCAUUUCAUCCAAAAAAACGGAAUGCAUCUCCAACUUGUCCCUUCUCACAGUGGCUGUCUAUCAGGAUGCCGUAGGUAACAUGAUUGAGGAAGAUUUCCCGAGCAUGCAUAUCAUCUCAUAGCUCAUUAGCUUUGGCCGGAUCGCCUUUUCUGCACAUCCCAUCAAUCAAACUAUUGUAUGUCACAACAUCUGGCCUCAAGCGCUGGUGCAACAAUGUGUCAAACAAUUGCAAUGCUUUCUCUAUAUCACCAUCCCUACAGUACCCAUGAAUCAAAGUUGUGAGUGCAUAAAUCUGGUGUAACCCCUGUCUCCUUCAUCUUAUUCGAAAGCUCCUCAGCAUCAAGCAACUUGCGCUGCUUACAAAGACCACUCAACAGGGUAUUGUAAGUGUCGGAUUUAGAGGCCCGGCAGUCCACAAUGGAGCUACCCAAGUGAUUGAUUUGUAGGAGAGUGGAUCGUGAAACUAAAAACUCGGUGGUGACCACGAGAGCACAAAGGAGUGAGUUUAUACAGGUUCGGAUCUCCGGAGAGUAACACCCUACAUCCUGUUUGUGGUGGUAGUUGUAUUGCUCAGAGAUUUGAAUGAACGCCCCCUCGGGAAGACGCCCUAGGCCGCCUUAUAUAGCCCGACAGUCUAGGGUUUACAAGUCGGAUUGCAUCUAAUUCUAGUCGGUUACAACAUGGAAAGCAAUCUAAGUCAGUUUACAGAUAAACUCCGUGAUAUCCGGACUGAUUUGAUCCGCCUGAUCUUCCUUGUCUUGCAUCCCACGUAACCGAUUAGGCUUGGCCCGCACAUCUGGUCGGGCGGGCCCACUUGUCAAGGUCGGGCGUUACCCUGGACGGUGGGGACCCAGGAGGUACCCAUAUCCCUCAAGCCCCGAACGAUGUGUAGGCAAACAGGAACUUGACGACGUUGCAACGAAGCUUGAAAGAGGUCGGCCGAAGGUGUGGCGCCAUCUUUGUGAUGGAGAGGCUGCGUAGUGCUCAAAAAGAAGAAAAACUGAGCUGGCGCAGAGCAAGAUGUGCAGAGCGAAAACGAUUGCCGAGCUUCAGACUUCUAGUAGGUCGAAGAGAAGGACAUGAAAGGCAUCGCAAAACGCACUUCAUAUGGAAUAGCUCCCGAGCAUUAAAGCGAUUAGAAUAAUCGAUCCAAUGGUACAAAAAUCUUGUAUAAUACGCCGUUGUCUUCAUGAUUAGUGUAGCCACGCCGGAGCGAAACCCAUCCCAAUGCGCGCAUCGGCGACCUGAUCAGUUUGCAGUCACGGGUGCACUUCUGUCGGUCCAAAGCGGGAAUCUGGCUGUAGCAGCACGCCCAACAAUAAUGCACUUGCUUUUGUCGUCAGGUAGGGGCGUGCCAAAGCAGGACUGUCCAGGGCCACGCACGAACAGUGCCAACCCUUGGCUAUAAAUACGGGCGCUAUCCCGGAGGCAAAUCACCCUCCACCAGAAGCAUAAAUGAAGCACGAAGAGCUCCUUAUAAUCCUGCUGUACCGGGUCUGGAUCCGACCUCUAGAUAGUUGUAGGGGGGCUUUGUAGUACUUGAUGCUAGAAGAAUGCUUGCGAGUGGCGAAGACGUCGAUGAGCGUCUGCAGGGUCUUCUCUGUGACCGUGUCCGCCCCAAAUGCUUUGGCAGAGCUUGGUGAAGUAGGGCUGUCGAUGGUUCCCAAGGAAACCUAAAGGCUGGGUUCCCCUUCGGGAUGUGCCGCAGUAAUAGUAUAGCCAUGGUGGCCUGAUGCUACAAGAAGGCUUGCGAGGUGCCUAGACACCUUGACGAUCCGGUUAUGGAGUAGCGGGGGCUACCAUGUAAUGCAAAUGCCACCAUGGUGGUGUUUGAUAUCUUUGUUGUGUAAUAUGGUGAAGAGACCAAAGUCUUGUCAUAAUUGCAUGUUUAUGGAAUAAAUCUUCUAGUCCUAAAGAAAGGUGCCCAGCCACCCAAUGUGCGAGAGUGAGGGUUUGACAAAGCCAAAGAGGCACGUCGAUCUGAAUUGAGGCGCCCAGCCCCGAGCGUGUUAGUGCUAGGGUCUGGUAGAGCCGCAGAGGCGCGCCGACCUGGAGUGAGGUGCCCAGCCCCCGAGCGUUGUAACACGAGGGUCUGGCAGGGCCGCGGAGGCGCACCGACCUGGAGAGAGGCACCCAGCCCCCGAGCGUUAUAGCGCAAGGAUAGGGACGUGGAGGCACGCCGACUUGGAGAGAGGCGCCCGGGCCCCGAGCAUUGUAGUGCGAGGGUCUGGCAGAGCCAUAGAGGCACGCCGACCUGAAGAAGUCCGACUUGUCGUGUUUUGUAAAAAAACUUAACAGGGAACCCGCGAACUCUGUCUGCUGAACGUGCCGCGAGUCACGGCUGCCCCGCGGAUUCGGUCCAUUAUCUCCGCGUCCGUUGGGCUAGGGUUAGCCGUUUAGACUUCAAAAACCCAAGAGGCGCAGCUUCUUAUUCAUUACUAUCGUCUUCCUCCUCUAUACUCAUCACGACUGUAGCUGCCGCCGCAGCACCCGAGAGCCUGGGAGAACAUAGAUUGCAACGCCACUCGCAUCCGUCACCGCGCCAUCGCAUGCGAACCAAAACCCUAGCCAUCAUCAAAUCCAAAUCAAUAGGGUUAGAUACCAAAGAGAUGGCGGCGAAGAACAUUCCAGAUCUGUCCGCCAUGUGGAAGAAGCCAGUGAUGAUGGAAGAGCGGAUCCAGGCGCUCGUCGACCGGGGCUGCUAGGGCCCAAGGUGGAGUUGGAGUGGAAGGUGUGCGCCAGUCAGGCGUCCGUCGUCUUCGCCAUCUUCUUCGAGUGCGGAUUUGGGAUCCCCAUCGGAGAUUUCUUCUGCGGGCUGCUACACUGGCACAAGAUAGAGCUGGUACACUCACCCCCAACUCGAUCUUGGAUAUCGCGGUUUUCAUCCAUUUAUGUGAGGCUUUUCUUGGAAUUCCUUCCCACUUCAAUUUGUGCAAGUACUUGUACGUGUCGAAAAAGAUUCCGUCCAAGAACAAAAAGGACAAGGUUGUAGGUAGAUGUGGAUUCUCGCUUCUGCCCGACAGAGGGCAGGAGUAUUUUAACUUGCAGUUGAACGUGACCAGCAAGGGUUGGCACAAAGAAUGGUUCACUAUAGCGAACUAGAAGCUCGAGCUCUAGUUCAACAAUAUCAAAGAGAUUGCCUUCUUAUAUGUACUAAGCAGAAUUUAACCAAUUUAUUCAACAAUAUCAAAGAAAUAUGUUAGCAUUGAACUAGUACAGUCAUGAGCCAUCUAACUAGUACAGAUAAAUAUUGUUCAGAUAUUCGUUGGCAGGUUUUGGGUAGAAAAUAUUUCAGACUCUAUCUUGCUUCUGCAUAUUUAGUCAUGUACCCUCACACAGAGACAACUUUAAGCACAAUGUUUAUGUAUCAAUAAAAAUUUCAGGCUCUAUCUUGCUUCUCUAUCUGUAGGAUAUUUCAGACUCCAUCAUGCUUCUCUAUCGAUAAAAAUUUCUGAACAUCCAACAAAUAGAUGCAUCAAAAUCUGAACACAGAGGCACUUUUUUUCCAUAAAGAGAACAUGGGAGCAUCUGUGGUCAAAAGCUGAACACAGAUGCAUCAAUAUACACAUUCACAGUGCUACGCUGUGCAGGUUUGCCAUUCAAAUUACCAUUUUAUGAAUAGGAUAUAAUUCAGAGUUCACCUCUUCUUACUAUCUGCGGAUCCACGUAAACCUCCCUGUUCCGGCGGCGUUGUUCCACUGAAUUCAGCUCAAGUUAAAAGGCCAUUGGGCCCAUCUGGCCAUCCGGCCACUAAAACAAACCUAUAAAGGUCUAAACCGACCCUUCCCACGCACGCAUGGACCCAGAGGUGAGGAGGGGCGGGCGGGCGGGCGGGCAGCGAGCAAGCUGUGCUGCGGCGGCGGCGGUACUCCCCAAACCCUAAACGCCGCCCUCGCUCUCUCGCCCCAUCCCCACUGCUUCAUCCUCAUCCCUAGACCCGAGCUCCCUCCCCUCCUCACCUGCAGCUAGCCCAUCCGGCGCGGGGCAGCGGCGGAUCUGGCAAGGGGGCGGAUCCGGGGGAAAGGUAUCAAAAUUGCAAGAGAUCUUAUUUGAUUUGAUUUGGAAACGUAUCAAAAUUGCCAGAGAUCUUAUUUGAUUUCUCACUUUCUGUAAUAACACCACGUAAUCCCAGAUCCAAACGGAAGGAAGGACAAGGAGUUUCGUCGUCCCGGCGGCCAUGGCACUUCCUGCCAAGAAGGUGUUGUCUCUCAGCGUGGUGAUAGUCAUCCUCCUCCUCUUCUCUGCUGCAUCAUUCUCCGUGCAUCAUGCACGCAGCAGGAGCUAUGGCAAAAUCCAAAGCACCUGGGAAGAACAGAGGAGUACCCAAGGUGAAGGAAAAUAGAACCCGGGGCGAAGGAAAAUACCGCCUAACCUAUUUCAGAUUUGAAGACUAUUUCAGGAACUACGGCAACAUGCAUAGAACCCGGGGCGAAGGAAAAUAUUAAGCCCAUUUCGUGUUGCUCUGGAAGCACCCGAACGGCGAGGCCAUGGACGACAAGGAUGCGCGGCGUCGCUGGUACGAGUCGUUUCUUCCAAGCACCCUCACCGACUCCGGCGAGCCACGUCUCCUCCACUGCUACACAUUUGACGUCAACGGCUUCAUCGCAUUGCUGACAAGGGCCGAGGCUCUGGUGUUGGCCAACAAGCCAGGAAUUCGGAGAAUGUCUUCGAAUAACAGAUGGUAUAUCUCUUCGAUAGCAAGUUGCGGCUUUGAGACAACAACAGCCAGCACCAAGAGGAGCUUCGUUCGUUCCAGACCGGCAUUCUGAGUUUAAAUCAUUUAUGUGUUGGUGUGCUGGCAUUUUAAUCUCUGUCCGGGCAUGAAGAGUUGGUUGAGUGGGAAAAUAAAUCAUUUGGAAGCUGAUUGUUAUUUGUUGGUUAUUCUUGUUCAAUCUCUGGCCGGGCAUGAUGAUUGGUUCCUUGGUUUAGAUUUAGCCUGGCUACAACCUAAUCAAGGCUAGCUUAAACCAGGCUCUCACUACGGGAAAGCUAAAAAUUGCCGAGUAUUUUUUCUUUGCCGAGUGUUUUUUUUCGAGCACUCGACAAACAAGCUCUUUGCCGAGUGCCAAGCUAAAAACACUUGGCAAAGAAAAAACACUCGGCAAAUCGGGGCUUUGCCGAGUGUCAAAUAAAAAACUCGGCAAACCCUACUCUUUGCCGAGUGUCAAAAAAAAACCACUCGGCAAAGAGGAGACCUGAGUGUUAAAAAAGACACUCGGCAAAGAGGGGGGUUUGCCAAGUGUUUUUCUGACACUCGGCAAAAAAAAAUAAGUUUUUUCCUCUUUUCACCUUGAAAUUUUUUCUACUCCCCACAUACAACAUGUGGUACUCCAUGUUAAAAUUUGGUAUAUUUUUAAAUUUAUUUGCUAUAUUUAUUUAAUUAAUUGUAUUUCAAGGAAAAUUUUGGUAUAAGUCAAAUUUGAACUGCAAGUGAUUCAAAUUAUAUAAUAAAAUGAGUAGAAAAAUGAUAUUCAUGUUAUUUAGCCAAAUUUGAGACAUGACCCACGAAAUGAAAAGAAAUUUUGAACAUUUUGUUCAGGAAACACGACCACGAACGUGUGGUCGAAUGAUUUUUAAAUUGUAAAAAAACAAGCAAAGUCUGAAAAUCAUGAGAUUUGUCAUGAUGUGAUGAUAUCAUACGUGGAGGCUGUGGAAAAAAAUUGAGAAGAUUUCGCACAUUUCGUCACGUACAAUGUUUACAAACCGAAGCAUCUCAGAAGAAGAAUAGUAGCAUUGAGAAGGAUUCAAUAAGAAUUGGAGUUAGAGUGACUAUCGAGUUUUGUUUUGACUACAAAACUUUUUGUACAGGCAGUAGAGAACAUAUAUUGUUUCAUGUGAAAUUUUUGUAAUUUUUUGGAACCGUCUAGAUAAUUUUAAUGUAUUUANNNNNNNNNNNNNNNNNNNNNNNNNNNNNNNNNNNNNNNNNNNNNNNNNNNNNNNNNNNNNNNNNNNNNNNNNNNNNNNNNNNNNNNNNNNNNNNNNNNNNNNNNNNNNNNNNNNNNNNNNNNNNNNNNNNNNNNNNNNNNNNNNNNNNNNNNNNNNNNNNNNNNNNNNNNNNNNNNNNNNNNNNNNNNNNNNNNNNNNNNNNNNNNNNNNNNNNNNNNNNNNNNNNNNNNNNNNNNNNNNNNNNNNNNNNNNNNNNNNNNNNNNNNNNNNNNNNNNNNNNNNNNNNNNNNNNNNNNNNNNNNNNNNNNNNNNNNNNNNNNNNNNNNNNNNNNNNNNNNNNNNNNNNNNNNNNNNNNNNNNNNNNNNNNNNNNNNNNNNNNNNNNNNNNNNNNNNNNNNNNNNNNNNNNNNNNNNNNNNNNNNNNNNNNNNNNNNNNNNNNNNNNNNNNNNNNNNNNNNNNNNNNNNNNNNNNNNNNNNNNNNNNNNNNNNNNNNNNNNNNNNNNNNNNNNNNNNNNNNNNNNNNNNNNNNNNNNNNNNNNNNNNNNNNNNNNNNNNNNNNNNNNNNNNNNNNNNNNNNNNNNNNNNNNNNNNNNNNNNNNNNNNNNNNNNNNNNNNNNNNNNNNNNNNNNNNNNNNNNNNNNNNNNNNNNNNNNNNNNNNNNNNNNNNNNNNNNNNNNNNNNNNNNNNNNNNNNNNNNNNNNNNNNNNNNNNNNNNNNNNNNNNNNNNNNNNNNNNNNNNNNNNNNNNNNNNNNNNNNNNNNNNNNNNNNNNNNNNNNNNNNNNNNNNNNNNNNNNNNNNNNNNNNNNNNNNNNNNNNNNNNNNNNNNNNNNNNNNNNNNNNNNNNNNNNNNNNNNNNNNNNNNNNNNNNNNNNNNNNNNNNNNNNNNNNNNNNNNNNNNNNNNNNNNNNNNNNNNNNNNNNNNNNNNNNNNNNNNNNNNNNNNNNNNNNNNNNNNNNNNNNNNNNNNNNNNNNNNNNNNNNNNNNNNNNNNNNNNNNNNNNNNNNNNNNNNNNNNNNNNNNNNNNNNNNNNNNNNNNNNNNNNNNNNNNNNNNNNNNNNNNNNNNNNNNNNNNNNNNNNNNNNNNNNNNNNNNNNNNNNNNNNNNNNNNNNNNNNNNNNNNNNNNNNNNNNNNNNNNNNNNNNNNNNNNNNNNNNNNNNNNNNNNNNNNNNNNNNNNNNNNNNNNNNNNNNNNNNNNNNNNNNNNNNNNNNNNNNNNNNNNNNNNNNNNNNNNNNNNNNNNNNNNNNNNNNNNNNNNNNNNNNNNNNNNNNNNNNNNNNNNNNNNNNNNNNNNNNNNNNNNNNNNNNNNNNNNNNNNNNNNNNUGUUUAGGUGUAAAUUAAGUGGCGAGUUUACAAGGAAUUCACACACAAGGGAGAAAAAAGUUGUUUGAAUCAAAAAAAAAUGAAAAAAAAUGUUUCCGUUUUGUUUUAUUUAUUCCACUGGAAAAUUAAAAUUUUUUCGCAAGUGGCCGGUUUGGGCCUUUGGGAAAAAAAAAGUUUUUUUGGCCCAAACCCCCCCCCCCCCCCCACGCCCGAGACCGUCCCCCGCGCACCCCUUCUUCUCCACCCCAGCGCGCUCAUCCCCCCUGGCCCCCUCCCCUCCCUCUCCUCCGGUGGGCCACCCCUCGAGACCGGAUCCAGCAGAGGCCAUGGUGGGCGGGGGCCGUGGUGGCCCCCCGGGGCCGGAUCCGGCGGUGGCCGGCCGCCACUCCUUCCCCCGGCGGCCGCCCCCUCCUCGCGCCCCUCCUCAGCGAGAUCCGGGCGGCGGCCCCCUCCUUCUCCCUCUCACCGGCGAGAUCCGGACACCGGCCCCCUCCUCUCCCUCCCCCUCCCUCUCCGGCCGCCCCCUCCCCACCGGCGACAUCCGGCGGCCGGGCCGCCCCCUCCCUCCCUCCCUCCCCCAACGGCGAGAUCCAAGGAGGGGGAGGGAGACGGCGGCGCGCGUGGGCAGGGGCGGAGGGGACGGUGGUGGCGCGGGCCGGGGGAGGGAGACGGCGGUGGCGCGGCGAGAUCCAUGGAGGGGGAGGGAGAUGGCAGCGCGGGCCAGGUGGAGGGACAUGGCGGCACCGCUGGCCAGGAUGAGGGAGAUGGUGGCGAGAUCUAGGGAGGGUUUGGGCAAGUGACGGCGGUGGUGGUGGUGGCCGGCAGUGGCGGCGGUGGCGGCCAGCGACUAUUUUUUUUUAUUUUUUUCUGAAAUUGUUGCCGAGUGUUUUUUGGGCACUCGGCAAAGCUUUUGCCGGGUGCCCAGCAAAAAACACUCGGCAAAGUUUGUUUGCCGGCAGGUUUUUUGACGUGUGCCCACUGCCGAGUGUUACACUCGGCAAAGGGUUCGCCGAGUGUUUUUGCGGCUUUGCCGAGUGCCCUAGGCACUCGGCAAUGUUCCUGUGUCCCGUAGUAUCUAUCAAUGCAGUACACUAGUGCGUUUGUUUGUCUGCGUUGCAUUGCUAGGAUUGUGUUUGGUUGUCUGUAUUGGGCUAGAUGUGGUCACCUUGAGCUGCUAUGGGGUGGAGACGUGGAGUUACCCAAGUAAGGUGUAGUCUCACAGAUUUUGCUUCCAAUGCUAAAAUGGUUGUUACUAGCAAGGUGUUUGUAUAAUCACAUGAAUAACAAGUACUGCCUCCGAUUGAAUUUUCAUGUCGUUAGAACAUGAUUAUUAGCACAAUUUGUGCUAGAUUGUGUGUCCUAACGACAUGAAAAAAAAAUCUGGAGGGAGUAUCAAAUUGCAUCCAGCUAAUCAAAAUGCAUUGAUCUAUUUUUACAGAAAAGAACUGCAGGUGUUCAUCAGUGAGUAAAAGAUUCAUCUGCUUCAGAACUAACAUCAAAUGAUAAGAAAAGAAAUAUACACGAUUCAAGCAAUAUGCUCGGAAUACCAGCAUGUUCCAUUGGCAGGAGCGAUAUCAAAACUUGGAGAAAAAUUUCACCAAAGCCCAGUAAAUAUAUUAAUUUCGAAGUUGAAUGGGUUACAUGAUUCAAGAAACCCAUCCACUUCAUAUUUAUAAAAGAAUCCAAGAACAACCCAAGUGUAAGCCCAGAUUUCCAAUAAUUGAAUAUGGUAAUUGCUACUCAUUUCACCUCUCAAACGGCUUCUUUGUUUAUCCUCUCAACCUAUUUACAAAGCCUGGUCAUUGCUACUCACUAGAUCUAACAAACAAGACAAUGACAUAUUUGCAUCUAUUGGUGGUAUCAAUGACCUGGUAGGCAAGUUGGACUCCCCCCACACAGUAGCUUACUGCAUUCUAUGUAAACCAUCUUCCUUUACAGGGUCAAAAUAUUUGUUUGAGAAAAUGGGUUCAUCUACCUACAUGUAAAAAUAGCAUUGGGUUCCCUUGGAGGAUAUUUGUAGAUACACACAACAGAAGAAGCUAGCGACUUUUGGAGAAUUAAGUGAUCAAAUACAAAUACCUAGAUUGCCUAAUUUGAGGUGACCUCGAAGAACAUGUACUCAAGUCUUAGCUGACAUCCGAGUUUCACCAAUUCACCCAAAAUUUUUUGUGCACUAUUUUGAUGUUUUAUAUAUUGCUUCCAGCCCUCAAAUAAUGUCACACCUUGCACCUCUAAUCAAUCAAACUUUCUAGCAUAGACAAUUGAAAGCCUGAAGUGGCUCAAUGGUAAUCUAUAGCAAACCAUCCCAAUCAGGUAGAUUGUAUAUGACUGAUGCUUUAAUCCUCCAAUAACGACUCGUUAGCAUAAAUCAUUGCAUUAGAAAUGUGAGGAGGAAACAUACGGAGGCCUUGUUGAUGAGGAAGACAGCCUCAUUGGAAGCGCGGAUGGUGUCAUCCUCCGCCCGCAUCAGCUGCCGCACCCACGCCAUUGGGAAGCUGCAGGCGCCUAUGUCGGCCGCAGCCACCUUUUUGUCCUUCUGCUUCUUCUUCACAGGCGUCGGCGCACCCGCCUCCCCUUCGCCGGAGGCUCUCUUGGGGCUCCGCAUCGUCGCGCUUCCUCUUGGUGGGUGUGCUCUUCCCCGUUCCGCCGGGCGCUUGCUGCUUGUCGCGCUUGAUGCUACUAUUCUUUUUCAGGCUUUAGACAAGUGCCAGUUAAAGAAAACAAUCAGUCAGUGCGCUUCCUGGACACCUCGAAUCACCAGGCGAGUCAUAGCUCUAAACUGUGUGAAUAUCCUCAGAAACACUCAAAUAAAAUUUGUCAGGAAUCGGCAGCUGCUGAGCUUGCUGCCAUCAUGGAGUGCCCGGUGGCGGGAUUCCCCCGAAGCUACCUUGGCCUGCCGCUCUCCACAGGGAAGAUCAAUGCCAACGUCCUGGACGGACGCGCUCACCAUCUUUUUUUCUAGAAUACGUAGGAGAGUUGCGUAUCCUUGCAUUAAGAUAGGAGAGAAAAAAAAGAAGCCACACCCUGUUUCCCUGAGCGAUGACGGCGAAAACUGUAGCACUAGUCAAUGGCAGCUCUUCUUCCUUGUGCGUGUUUUCCUCCGAAAGAAACGAGAUGCUGGUCCUUGAUGAGGCCACAGCUAGCGUCCAUCUGACUCAGCCACCAACGCAUCAAGCCUAUCUAGUUUUCAUGGUGCACAGUGAUCACCAUUGACCAUUUACCAUAGCACACAGGGUUUCCUACUGUCACAGACAGUGAUGUGGUCAUGGUUCUUUCCUACGGUAAGCAGCUGCUUCCGAGCAUUUGUAACAUUCUGGCUGAGAUGCAGAUUCACCAACAAGAUGAUAGAGCUUUUCAGAAGUACACGUCCAAUCUUUUUGAAAAGCAACCGGGAAUCUGCUUUCUGUAAGCUCGUCGAUGAGUAUCGAUCCAAGUAUAACUGAAGCUGCAAGUAACCCAGGCAAAUUGUCAGACAGUCAAUUUCAUUGGAGGGACAACACGGGCCGCCUUGUUUAAUUUACAGCAGUUUUACUUAGGAUAGUAGGUCAUAAUCGUAGUGGAAACAAAGAGAUUAUACCAUUGAUUAACUGCAUGAGCAUCUCUACCCAACUUGUCUGGCGCCAGGGCUAGCUUAAGAGAAUCUUUCAGCGGGAAAUUACGCGGUAACUGCCUUUGAUUGGUCAUCAGUGAGGAUCGUCGGUGCACGCCUUUGGCUCUCACAUUUUUUUGCUAUUUGAUUUCUCCUGCUCUGUCAAUACAGAAAGGCAGAAUCCUGCCGGCUCAUUUCAAAGUAAAAUAUAGGAAAGAAAUUACACGGUAACCAUGCAUGAUAACUGGAAAAUCAAACCAGAAUUAAAUGAAGUCAUAUGUGUUUGUCGAGCUCCAGCCUCAGGUGAUCGAUCUUGUCUCGCAUUGUUAGGGGUCAUUUGGUUCCAGGGCUAAACUUUAACCUUUGUCACAUCGAAUAUUUAGAUACUAACUAGGAGUAUUAAACAUAAACUAUUUACAAAACCCAUUGUACGGAUGGAGGCUAAACGGCGAGACGAAUCUAUUAAGCCUAAAUAAUCCAUGAUUACAAUCAGAAGCCAUUUUUUUUGGCUUCUCCUCUCUAGUGUAAGCCGUUUUGCGACUUCUCCCCGGCUUCGGUGGUGGAGCCGUUUUGAAAUUGCUCCUUUGGUAGGGCUUCACUAAAAACCGGUGGAGAAGCACUUUGAGAAGCUCUAUCAAACGGGGCCUAUAUAUACAUGCAAAAAUCUUAGAAAGCCAUAGCAACUUUGAGGUAGUUAAGACUAACAUUUAACAUGCAAAAAAACACAGGUUGAUCCAAAAUGAUUAAGACAGGAAACUGAAAAUCACCAUUUGAAAGACCCUCUGCUUGCACGCCAUCUGCUGCUGCAUCAUCUUGAUCUCCAUCUGCUCCUUGGCCAUCGGCAGCAGGUACUUCAGUUCGUCCAUCUCUAUCUUGAUCACCUAUGACAUUGAACACAUGCAACAAAAAAAAUUCAGAUCAUGCGCAGAAGGAAGACACAACACAUCGUGGAUCAUGGUUAACUAAUCACUUUGAUAUUCAUCAUUCCACGCCAUGUCAUAAUCGAGUUCAUUGGCAUCCCACUCCCCUAUGUCAUCCCAACCUACGGGAUUAUCUAAGGCUGAUUCUAGUGGAUUUUGGUUCAAGUCGAUCUCUAGCCCGGGCAUUGUUGGUGCGCUACAACAUGAAUGAGAGAUAGAGAGAGAUGGAAGGAAAGGAGCCUGGCGCUUAUUUACGAAGGGAUGUCUGUCGAUGGGCACUUGGGUGGCAAAAGAAAUUUGCUAGAAAUUUUCUUUUCAGUUUUGGUUGCAAUGACUGAAACCGAAGAAAAAUGUACGACGCGAGAUUUCUGGCGACUGAAACUGAACGGCAUCGCGUGGGAAAGAAGAAAAGGAAAGGACGACAAUGGCGCGCGCGAGAUUUCUAGCGACUGAAACUGAAAGGCAUUGAGCGGUAAGGAAAGGAGCGUGGCGCGCGGGGUAAACGACGUUUGGAGUGGGAUUAGCAACGUAUUUACUCGGUAACUCAAGAGUCAUCGGCGGAGUUAAAGGAAAGCAGCGAAUUAAUAGCAAACGGGACGACUCAAACGAUUCCGAUAAAUGGACGGAGGGAGUAACAACUUUGAACUGCCUUGCACACGAAGUAGUAAAGCUUUGAAGCGAGGUAAAUGCAUGCAUGGAGAUUUGACCCUGUAAAUGCAUGUAGAGUUUAAUUAAGUAAAAUCUGAGCACAUGCAUGCAUGCAUCUGUGCACCGUACACGUAGCAAGUCGUUGAACAGAAAAAAGUGAGAAGCUCUGCUGAGACGUCGCUUUCACCUGGUGCAAAGUCAGAAACGACACAUGCCGGGGAGUGCACGCGGUGCACCGCGCACGCCAUCCGAUGCUGGCCACUCCACCUAUCUGCAGGGCAAUGUCAAUAACUUCUCCAGAGCACUUAUCAGCAGGGUGCCCUAAUUUAAAAAAUGUCAGCUCGAUCGGCACCCCCGGCUAUAAAACCCCGUCCAUCGAUGCUGGAUCGUCCAACACCACGAGCUCGAUCAAGCACAAGGUCUUCGAUCAACAGGUGUGGUAGUAGCAAGCAGUAGCGAGUCCGAUCCUCGGGUAAGAAGCGGCGGGAGGUUGAAGAAGAAGCUAGCUAGCUAGCUAGAGGUAGAGAGUGCCAUGGCCAGCGUGCACGAGGUGACCGGGCGUGAGCCGACGUUCUCCUUCUCCACGGAGGAUGCUGGGCGCCCCGAUGCGGAGAACGCGGCGGCGGCGAGGUUCCACCUGCCGGUGGACUCGGAGCACAAGGCCAAGUCCAUCCGCAUCUUCUCCAUGGCCAACCCGCACAUGCGCACCUUCCACCUCUCCUGGAUGUCCUUCUUCACCUGCGUCGUCUCCACCUUCGCCGCCGCGCCGCUCAUCCCCAUCAUCCGCCAGAACCUCAACCUCACCAAGUCCGACAUCGGCAACGCCGGCGUCGCCUCCGUCUCCGGCGCCAUCUUCUCGCGCCUCGCCAUGGGCGCCGUCUGCGACCUCCUCGGCCCGCGCUACGGCUGCGCCUUCGUCAUGAUGCUCGCCGCUCCCCCCGUCUUCUGCAUGGCCGUCAUCGACAGCGCCGCCGGUUACAUCACCAUCCGCUUCCUCAUCGGCGUCUCCCUCGCCACGUUCGUCUCGUGCCAGUACUGGACCAGCACCAUGUUCAACAUCAAGAUCAUCGGGACGGUGAACGCGCUGGCGUCGGGCUGGGGCGACAUGGGCGGCGGCGCCACGCAGCUCAUCAUGCCCUUCGUCUACGAGGGCAUCCUCAAGUGCGGCGUGUCCCCGUUCGAGGCGUGGCGCAUCGCCUACUUCGUCCCGGGGCUCAUGCACGUGGUCAUGGGCAUCCUCGUGCUCACUACCGGGCAGGACCUCCCCGACGGCAACCUCCGCAACCUCCAGAAGCAGGGCGACGCCAACAAGGACAACUUCUCCAAGGUGUUCAUGCACGCCGUCACCAACUACCGCACCUGGGUCUUCGUCUUCAUCUACGGCUACAGCAUGGGCGUGCAGCUCACCACCACCAACAUCAUCGCCGAGUACUACUACGACCAGUUCGACCUCAACAUCCGCGUCGCCGGCAUCAUCGCCGCCUGCUUCGGCAUGGCCAACCUCGUGUCGCGCCCCCUCGGUGGCGUCCUCUCCGACCUCGGCGCGCGCUACUGGGGCAUGCGCGCCCGCCUCUGGAACAUCUGGAUCCUCCAGACCGCCGGCGGCGCAUUCUG
rnacentral:lncRNA from 1 species